rnacentral:rRNA from 1 species
AGUGAACGCUGGCGGUAGGCCUAACACAUGCAAGUCGAACGGCAGCACAGUAAGAGCUUGCUCUUACGGGUGGCGAGUGGCGGACGGGUGAGGAAUACAUCGGAAUCUACUUUUUCGUGGGGGAUAACGUAGGGAAACUUACGCUAAUACCGCAUACGACCUACGGGUGAAAGCAGGGGAUCUUCGGACCUUGCGCGAUUGAAUGAGCCGAUGUCGGAUUAGCUAGUUGGCGGGGUAAAGGCCCAUCAAGGCGACGAUCCGUAGCUGGUCUGAGAGGAUGAUCAGCCACACUGGAACUGAGACACGGUCCAGACUCCUACGGGAGGCAGCAGUGGGGAAUAUUGGACAAUGGGCGCAAGCCUGAUCCAGCCAUACCGCGUGGGUGAAGAAGGCCUUCGGGUUGUAAAGCCCUUUUGUUGGGAAAGAAAAGCAGCAGGUUAAUACCCCGCUGUUCUGACGGUACCCAAAGAAUAAGCACCGGCUAACUUCGU